rnacentral:lncRNA from 1 species
ACGUCAUCGAAACAAACGCUCACUGCGCAUGCGCAUGAACUAUAAAAGCGCGGGUUCGCACGUUCUUUCUUCCCAGUUCCGUCUUUCUUGAGAAGGGUGAGUAAUAUUCACUUUGUGAUUUCGUUUUUUUUUUUUUUUAAAUAGUUUUUUAUCUACUGGAGAAGUUUUUAAAAUCACGUUCUGUAGGUGUUUUACCAAACUACCCACAGUGCUAAAGUUGUACAAAUUAAAACUAAGGAUUUUGGUGUAGUUCCGCGCUGAGCACGUGGCUCAUUUUCGAUGCACCCGGGAAGGUUCUAGACAAUGAAAACUUGACUGGUUCUGGUUUAGUAUUAUAUUAUACUGUUUAGUGCAUAUGAUUGUUAGUAAGAUGGAUAAACACAAGUUACUAAUGUUAUUCAAUUGUUUUAACGUUGCAUAUUGGUGAUCAUUUAAGCGACUUUGCAGUAGGUUAUUUCCAGUGGCCAAACUAUCUGAGCAGCUGUAUUAUGAAUUUCACUCUAUAUGUAUUUGUUUUACAGUAUGUGGGCUGUUGGACCAUGGAGUUUUCCUAUAGUGCUUACUCAGCUUUUGAU